rnacentral:rRNA from 1 species
AUUGAACGCUGGCGGCGUGCUUAACACAUGCAAGUCGAUCGGUAACAGGUGUAGCAAUACAUGCUGACGAGAGGCGGACGGGUGAGGAAUAUUUGGGAAUCUGCCCAUCAGCGGGGGACAACCCGGGGAAACUCGGGCUAAUACCGCAUACGCUCUACGGAGGAAAGCCGGGGACGGCAAGGCCUGGCAAUGAUGGAUGAGCCCAAAUCGGAUUAGCUAGUUGGCGGGGUAACGGCACACCAAGGCGACGAUCCGUAGCUGGUCUGAGAGGACGAUCAGCCAGACCGGAACUGAGACACGGUCCGGACUCCUACGGGAGGCAGCAGUGGGGAAUAUUGGACAAUGGGGGAAACCCUGAUCCAGCGACGCCGCGUGGGUGAAGAAGGCCUGCGGGUUGUAAAGCCCUUUCGGUAGGGAAGAAAUCUCUUGUCUUAACACGGCAAGGGUUUGACUUAACCUACAUAAGAAGCACCGGCUAACUCCGUGCCAGCCGCCGCGGUAAUAC